ensembl:lncRNA
AUGAGAUGAGGGACGACAUUCAUGGGGGAACAUACCACUGCUCUUUCAACAACGCAUCUUUUAAAGAUGAAGAGGAGGAGAAGGUGGAUAAAGAACAGAUGAAGACACCGGCAGUUUGAUGUUGAGUAGUAUUCACACAAGACUGGAAGUCAGAUAUAAUCCAAGUACAGAUGAACACAGCACCAACCAUAGCUUGCUUGUUAGUUUUGAUUGUCAGAGGUAAAGCUUGACAUUUUUUGGUGUGUAUUGUAUCAUUUAAGUUUCAGAGAACAAUUAAACCACUGAAUUAGCUACAUGGUUUGGUAAUUAGUUAAACUAACUUCCACCAAACCAAUAAAAAAAAUGAUGUUCAACUUGUAGCUACUUCCGAAACUGCCGACCAUGUUGGCUUAAACCCAAACGUCUUCCACACCAAUGUGUGAGGUGUUUCUCCACUACCCAGAAGCACCCAGGGGGUAUUUGAGAUCCAGUCAGGAAGGGCUGUGCCUCGCCUGUGGGAGUCACGCUACCUGUAUGGUGUGUCUGGACAUGUGUCCCAAACACUCCCAUGCUUGCCCCACGAGUGUGAGGUCAUCCCGGGGGAAAUACAGUAUAUUGGUGAGCCGGUUUCCUGUUUCAUGUUCUCAUCACAAGCUUUUUAGUUCAGGAGUAGACUUAAUGAAAGCUAGACUUUAUACCAUAGAGCAUUUAAUGCCUGGAAAAAGCCAUUUUGGAUCCAAAGAGCACCUUUUUACAUAAAAAUGUUCAAUUUUCCCUAUUCUCUCUCAUCUUUCCUGUGCUCCCGGGAUGGGCUCCUCCCUCCCCAGAGCCCCUGUGCCCUCAGAUGAGCACCAACGAGCAGCUUGGACCAGAGUCUGAGUAUCUUGUUGUCUACGAUACACAGAGAGGUAUAGAAAGUGUCAAUCACUGAGCGGCUCUUGCCUGGCACAGAUAUAGCAUACAGUAUGUUUUAAUAUGAAGGACUGCUUUCACGAACACAGAUUAAAUCUAGUCCUGGACUAAGAUACACUUUCAAUUGAGAUUCUCCAGCGAGCAGGAUUUAAGUCCAGGACGAGGCUUACUCUGUUUCUACUAUGGCAGUGGUUCUCAAAGUGGGGUCCGUGGACCUCUGGGGCCAGAUGUCAAAAUACAUUAUUUUUUAUAUAUAUUUUUUUUACAUCAGAUUUAAAAAAAAAAUGUUUUACUAAUAACAGAUUAAACAAGUUUUGGCCAAGAGAUACUUGAAAUAAAUUUAGAGGGUAUAAUACAAUAUAAUAUGAUUCAUCUCCAAUUUAGAUUCUUAUCCCUGGGCAGGCUCACAGGAAUAUUGGUAUCCACAGUACUCCACCAAUUAUACAUUUCUUCCCUGACCCCUGCUGCUGUCUCUUUCUCUGGGGCUGAUGACACCACUCUGCUGUUCGAGGGACGCUUCGAGUGUGGCAACUUGCUGAAAGCAACAAGAGUGUGAGGAACACCCGUGUGUAGGUGCGUUACCGCUUCAACAUCGCCAAACUGCUGAAGGUGACCAGCCUGUAUGAGGAGGGGAAGCUGCCCCUGCUCUACUCUGAGGAGAAGGCCCAGGUCCAGGGGGUGGGCUGGCAUCUUGUGGGUCAACAGGCCUCCUACCAAUGUAACGGGUGCCAGCACAACAACCAGCCCAGCUACACCCUCUCCUGGAUCUUCUGCUUCCCUUACUGCCAGAUGAACGUGGUACCUUCAGGUGUUUGGAAAUUGCUCCCAAGGAUGAAUCAGACUUGUGGACGUCUUUUGAUUUCCCCAUGAUGUCAAGCAAAUAGGCAC